GGUGGCUCAGUGGUAGAGUGCCUGCCUAGCAUGCAUGAAGCCCUGGGUUCGAUUCCUCAGUACCA
rnacentral:tRNA from 1 species